rnacentral:rRNA from 1 species
AACGAACGCUGGCGGCAUGCCUAACACAUGCAAGUCGAACGAGACCUUCGGGUCUAGUGGCGCAAGGGUGCGUAACGCGUGGGAAUCUGCCCUUCGGUUGGGAAUAACUGAGAGAAAUUUCAGCUAAUACCUUAUAAUGUCUUCGGACCAAAGAUUUAUCGCCGAGGGAUGAGCCCGCGUAGGAUUAGUUAGUUGGUGGGGUAAUUGCCUACCAAGCCGACGAUCCUUAGCUGGUCUGAGAGGAUGAUCAGCCACACUGGGACUGAGACACGGCCCAGACUCCUACGGGAGGCAGCAGUGGGGAAUAGUGGAAAAGGGGCGAAAGCCUGAGCCAGCAAGGAAGCGUGAGUGAUGAAGGCCUUAGGGUUGUAAAGCUCUUUUGACCGGGAUGAUAAUGACAGUACCGGGAUAAUAAGCUCCGGCUAACUCAGUG